GAACCUAUGGCCUAGUGAUUAAGGCUAUGGAUUGCAAGUCCAGAGACGGCCGGUUUGAUUCCCGUUCCGGUCG
rnacentral:tRNA from 1 species